GAAUGUAGAACCAUGACUCUACUGUACCUUUAUUGUCCCCUUUCUAGUGCCUACCUACCACAAACUAAAUGCUUAAAACUUGGCUUGAAUUGAUGUCCUAGAAGAUGUGAAUUUCUAGUGGGUAUUAACUAUAUCUGCUGCUGAGAUGAAGGGAAAGGCAAGUUCUCUGCAACAAAGUACAGGGCCAGAUGAAGGGAGAGUGAAGAUCAUUUGUCAUAAUGUCACCCUAUAAAUAUUUUGAAGAGAUUCUAUUGCUAUAAACCAUAAACACAUCCCUGUUGGGAAAGACAGGAGCAGUGUUUUCUGAUUAUAAGGAGUGUUUGUUGGAGCUACAGGCGUGUGGAAGCAAUUUCAGGAACAUCGUUGCGAGGAGUCUCUGGCAGAGAGAAUUCAAACAACUGCCAUAGGAAAUGGGGUACAGCCUUCACAGGACAUAUAUGCUAAAAUACAGAGUGGAAUGUUGUCCUGAUGUUGGAUGGGAUUCU